rnacentral:tRNA from 1 species
CCAGAAAAUAGUUUAGUUUAGAAUUCUGGCUUUGGGAGCCAGGGGUAAGAGUUAAAAUCUCUUUUUUCUGGGC